UACGUAGGGGGCAAGCGUUGUCCGGAAUCAUUGGGCGUAAAGAGCGUGUAGGCGGUUCGGUAAGUCGGCUGUGAAAGUCCAGGGCUCAACCCUAGGAUGCCGGUCGAUACUGCCGGACUAGAGUUCGGAAGAGGCGAGUGGAAUUCCUGGUGUAGCGGUGAAAUGCGCAGAUAUCGGGAGGAACACCUAUGGCGAAGGCAGCUCGCUGGGACGUUACUGACGCUGAGACGCGAAAGCGUGGGGAGCAAACAGG
rnacentral:rRNA from 1 species